CCGCCUUGUGUGAAAAUUUGAGACUCUCUACUCCAUCUUCCACAUAGUAUAACCCUCAUUGGCUGGAAUCAUAAUGAUAUCUGCAUCUGGAACUGGCCACUAGUAUAACACCUACAAAAUGCACAACGGCCUUCAGACCAUAUGAAAAGUCUACAGGGUGAGAAUCUGAAAAUCCAGCAAUGAGGAGAAAAAAGUUAUCUCCCAUUAAGAACACUUUCCAGAAGCUACACAAUUCCAGUUAUUGAUUCAUCCCAUUUACUAGAACCUGUUCAUCUGGCUAUGCCCAAAACCAAGGGAAACUGAAAUAGUGGUUACCAUAUUCUGUA
rnacentral:lncRNA from 1 species